AGAGAACACUCCCCUGCCAGGUCCUCAUGUAACUCGGAUGCUGGAAAGGGUCUUCACUGCUGGCUGCUGACAGAAGCUGCCCAGCAGAGCUGUGGUGCGAUUAACCUAUGUGAGCAAAUAAAUUCAUCACCAAAAUUUUCUGCAGCUUCUUUCUGCUGAAGGGGUGUGGAGGCAGAGUCCAAUAAUAUUUUAUCAUGGACAAAUCAGCAGUGGAAAGAAAGCAGGAGAAGAAGAUUCCUGUCUCCAGAUCACAAACCAUUUUCCUGGGAAGAUGCUGCUGCAAAUCAAAAGUACCCUGUAGAGUCUUUCUUCUGGUGGACUACUACAAUUCUUGCAGUAACCUGAAAUCCACAGCUCUAUUAUGGCCAUUAGGGCAGCCAGAAACAGCAGAAGAGCUACAAGGAAAUAUGUCACAAAAGUCAGAAACCAUAUUUCUCUUGCUGGACAAAAGGCUCCAAAAGAUCAGAAAGGUUCAUCUAUAAACAGCACAGGAUGACUUAGAAUCUGCUGGCAAAAUUGAACAGUAUCAUCACAAAAUACUGCUCACAGAGCAUUAUAUAUGAAGACAUCAUUUCAGAAUUCUACCAGCAGCUACCUAAAAUGAGAAUUUCUACAAAACUGGAAGAUACAAAGAUGAAAACUGAACAAUGGCAGCCUAAAGCUGCUAUGACAAAUCAAGCAAGGAAAAAAAACCCCACAUAACUAUGUGUACUAUGUCAUCAGAUAAUACACAUGAAAACUCAGAGCACUGAGUGACUUAAUAAAUCCCCUGAGAUUGCUGGGUGCAAGGCAAGAUCAGAGGAGUUAACUGAAGGAAAAAAACUUGAAUGCCACAAACUCUGCAGGAAGUCCCCAAGCCACAGCUAGUGGCAAGCUGGGUUUACUACCAAGAACAAUCCAUAAAAGGGUCACUCUUUCCUUCUACCUCCCUCCACAGGCAUCAGCCUUUGGCCAUCGUCAGAAGCAGCAUAUUUGGCAAGCUGUUCCCAUGCCUGGAGAGCAUCAUGUAAAAGGCUCAUGGUGCUCUCGAGGACACUGUGUCAGUUAGUUUCAGGCUUCCUAGAACAGCUCAGAGACCUUAGGAAAGCAAAAUAAAAAAUACGAAGAAAGGGAAUCCAAACUUGCAACCUUCUUCUCCCAGAUACCUGCAAGUCAGUAACUUUUAUUAAGUGGUAACUUUGGCAUAAUUUAGUUUUUCUCUUCUGUAUGUAAAUUCACUUCAGUGUGACAAACUGCAUUCAAAGGCCAGCUUAACUAUAAUGAAGAUUAAUAAGCCAUCACAGUGCAUUUUCUUUAGAGGCCACCUUGAUUAGGUAUCAUCAGGACACACAAAAACAAUACAAAAAGAAAAGAAAUGUACAGUUUUCCCUUUAGUCAGCUAAUCCUGUAAAUAAGAGCAGUGAAAAUCCUAAUUGCUAUAAUUGAAAUCCUAAUUGAAGCUUAGAUGUUUACUCAGAUCACAGAUUCAGGAGGAAAAGCAGUUACUGCUUUGGCUGAUGUUACACAAGCAGCUAUCUCCGGUCAUUUGGAGUCAUGGGAGGUGAUAGGCCGGGUGAGCAAGUCAAACAAAAUCACUUAGUUGCUACGCAAUGUAGGAGACAAGGGGUGAGAGAGAAGGCAAGCAAAAAAGGGUGUGUUCCUCAGGAGUUAUUUUAACCCCUAGAGCAAUGAAAAAUACAGCACAAAUGAAUAGUAAAGCCUCCAGUCAUGUGGAUAUCUCAAACUAAGACACAAUGCAAAUUCUAGGUAUCCCAAUAUUUAAAUUUAACCAUGAAGCAUAUUUUUGCUGGCUGUAAGUUACUCUAAUUAAUGGUGCUGCCAAUUCAGUGUUACAUUUACAUGGACAAAUCCCUUCUUCAAUUAGAGCAGCUAGCAGGCAAGCUGACAUGUUUCUUAGUUCAGAGCUCCCAAACACCUGAUUCAAAUGAGUAUUUGUAGCACCCAGCUCUCCACUAUUCUAGCAGAGUUAUUAAAGAGAAGCACAAUUUUUUUGUCUUAGCACUUCUUUUUAAGUUUUUCCUGCUUUAUUAAGUUUAUCCCUUUUUUUAUUGAUGUAUGGAAUAAUUACUGCUUCACCUGCUGACACUGGAAGGGUGAGCUAGUUAAACAACUCUCACAGAAAGCAGCCAUAUAAACGUUAACAUUGCUAUAAAGAUGCUAUAAAGAAACAUUACCAGAAGAAAUCAAAUUUAAGUGAGCUUCCAGGUACAGACAGAUUUUUUAUUUUCACCUAAACCUCCUCUCAGUACCCUAAAAAGCAUCUGAAGGCUCAACAGGUCCCUGGUUUCCCAGACAGUCCCUGACCAUCAUCUUGAUUCUUUCUUACCAGAAGAGCAGGUUUUCAGAGCUGAAGUAUGGCUGGAAACAGCUGUACACCUUGUCUGGCUACUACAUGUGUGCUUUUGAUGGCAGGUUAAGGAGAUUUGUGACCUUGCACAACUCCCAAAUGCUGUAUCUCAUAAAGAAAGGGAGACAGCCCUACUGUGUUGCCAAUGGGGGGAAUUUUAUUGAUUUGGUUUUUUUUUACACUCACCUACAAGUCUUGCUGUGCACAGCCUCAAAGCUCAGUGGGAGGUAACAAUGUGCUAAUGCCUCCUGCUUCAUCUGUAAGGAAGUCUUUUUGCUUGAAAUUUACUUGAAGGCACAUGCACAUGCCUUCCAGCCUGGAGUCAAUGUGCAGAGGCAGGCAGGAGCCUGAACAGAUCCAGCAGAAGAUUGCCUGCACCUACUCACAUACAUGUACCCAUCAGCUUCAGCAGCAGAGAGCAAAGGGAAUGCAGAUACUUUAAAAUUAUUAAUAUGGAAAACAUUUACAGUGCUUUCUGCACAGAACAGAGCAGUGAGCUAUGGCAGCCACUGGUGGAAGCUCAUCAAUGAUUAUUUAUUGUAAAUGCUAUAAUUCACUGGUAAAAACUUGAGACUAAUCUCUUCAAAAGUUUUUCACAUUUUUAAUGGCAUUUGAAUGUAUAUGAACUUAGAAAAGAGAGCUACAGAUAGUAGUUAACAGUGAUCAAAUUAAUUUUUAAGUGUAAGUGCCAAAAAAACCCCAAAGAAAAUUGCCUCUGCUUUUGCCAGUACUGGACCUUGAGAGUUAAUAGUAUCAAUUCUUUUAGAGGAAUCAUUCUGUUUUUACAAAAACCCAAGGGAUGAGAAAGGGAAAGAGCAAAAAUAGCAAGCACACUGCUAUUGCUAAGUGAUUCCUAAUGAUUAAUCAUAAAUAUAUGUGUACAAUUUCCUUUACAUCCUGUUUGCUGCAAAAAGCAAGAAAGAAUAGAUCAGCAUACAGUCAGAAUUUUUUACAUGCUGUUUCUAAAGACAAAGCAAGACAAGACCUACAGGAAAUGUCAUUUUUUUCCCACUAAAUCGAUACAGCUGGAAAAUAACAAGUCUUCAGAACAGUCUCUUCUGAAAAGCAGAUUUUUCAGGUUGCAUUUAGUUCAAGGAUGGCUGCAACUGUUGUACAUAGGAGAGAGAUGAAGGUGCCUGGCAUCCUCCUGCAUUUUGAACUCUGCACCCAGGGAACAUCCUGUAUAAUUUAGGUUUAUGAGCUGGUGAGUCUAACCAAACAGGUGAAGAGAGGUUUGCAUUCAGCACCCUGACCUCAUUGGAGGUCUAAACCAAGCACAUUUUUGUACUGUGCAAGUUCAAGAAAAUGAUGAGCUAUCCACACCACCUUUUAUAUUGCACAGACAGGCUGCAGCUCCCUAAAAAGUAAAGCACCAGUUGCAUCUCUAGCAGCAGAUUAAAAGGCUGCCAGAGAGGUUAUAGGGUUUGCUAAGUGAUGCAUGGAGUGAGACAGAAAGAGAAGCCAAAUUUCCCAUCCCCACCAAUGUGCUGUGCUGUCAGGAAAAAUUAAACAUGAUACAUUAUAUGACAAACAUAUGUUCUGGUACACAUUUUGGAGUUUCGGUACAUUGUUUCACGGUGUCCUAUUUAUUAGUAAUCUCACUCAUUUUAAGUACAAAUGACACUGACAUUCCCAGGAAAGAAAAAAGGCAGAAUUUUGGCACCAAGCCCUGCUGAGCUGCUUUGUAAAGCCAACACUUGGCUAUGUCUCAGCUGCAGUUUGCAGGGACACAGCUCCCUGUCCUACCAAGCACACCUGGCUCCUGCUGUGAUGGCUGGAGCCAGUAGCUGAAACUAAAGAUUUUAAAUGCAGAAGUUCUCAAAGGGUGACCUGGGGACACUGGCAUUCUGAGUACAUUUUGGCCCAGGAUUAGAAGAAUACUACUUGAACUGAGAAAGCAGGUUUCAGUGAACUGUUGCUUGAGGGCUGAUAUUAUUUAACACAUCUGGAUUAAUAUGUAUGUAAAACAAAAUACAAAGGCACUAGAACAAAGAACUGGAGAAAGAUACUACGGGAGGGCAUUGAAAAGCCAUGGAUGGCAAGAUAUAUUUAGCAGACAUAAAAGAAACCUCUUGUUUUUCUCGUGGAGUCUAGAUACUCUGAAAAUAUUUGCUAAGGACAGGCAUCUAAAUGGCACUGGGAGAAUAUACAGAAAAACUAGAGCUUCCCACUUUUAGAAAACUAAUGAGCUUUUCCUCUUUGUUCCCAAUUGCUCUUUACCCUGUUGAUAUGUCAUAAUUCUGUAUUUAUAACGCCAUAGCCUUUUGUCACAGAGAAUGCAGUAAAAAUGACAAAUAAGCCUGCCCUGCAAAACACUGAACUAUCACAAUAUGGGGUAGGAAGGAGCAAGGUUUAGUUUGAAUAAGAACCAGCUUAAGUUAUUAGCAAACAUAAGAUAAGCUCUGGUUGCAGUUAUGGGCUGUCCCCCUGCUCUAAAAGCAUCAUCUGAUCAUGUUCUAUUCACCUUCUUGUACCUCCAACACUCUGCCCUCCACUGAUUCACAAGCCCCUCAUUCACUAUUUUCUACAAUUUGGAUUUUAUUUCUUAAGACCAACUCCUAUUUCAUGCAUUUCUCAUCUCUACCCAGAAGAGGCUCAGGAGAUUAAAA